rnacentral:rRNA from 1 species
GGGUGCGAUCAUACCAGCAGUAAUGCACCGGAUCCCAUCAGAACUCCGCAGUUAAGCGUGCUUGGGCGAGAUUAGUACCGGGAUGGGUGACCUCCUGGGAAGUCCUCGUGUUGCACCCC